GAGGUGGGAGGAUCGCUUGAACCCAGGAGAUAGAGGCUGCAGUGAGCCGUGAUCAUACCACUGCACUCCAGCCUGGGUGACAGGGUGAGACCCUGUCUCA
ensembl:miRNA